UGAACGUGGAGGGUCCCAGCUGAGGCAAGCUGUCAGUGAAACACACAAAAGAAGGUAAAAUACCUCACUACUCAUGUUUUUUUGGUUGUUGUUGGUUUUUUUUUUUUUUUUUUUUUUUUGACGGAGUCUCGCUCUGUCACCCAGGCUGGAGUGCGGUGGCGCGAUCUCGGCUCACUGCAAGCUCCGCCUCCCGGGUUCACGCCAUUCUCCUGCCUCAGCCUCUUGAGUAGCUGGGACUACAGGCGCCCGCCACCACGUCUGGCUAAUUUUUCUGUAUUUUUAGUAGAGAUGGGGUUUCACCUUGUUAGCCAGGAUGGUCUCGAUCUCCUGACCUCAUGAUCCACCCGCCUCGGCCUCCCAAAGUGCUGGGAUUACAGGUGUGAGCCACGGCGCCCGGCACUAAUCAUGUUUUAUACUGAUUACAUGUUGAAAUGAUAAAACUUUAUAUAACAGAUUAAAAAAACUGUGCUAUGAAAAUUCAUUUUUCCUAUAUUGUUGUACUUUAAAAAAUAUGCCUAGUAAGAAUUUUUUUUGUUUUUUGUUUUUUUUGAGACAGAGUCUCACUGACUCACUGCAACCUCCGCCUCCUGGUGCAAGCGAUUCUCCUGCCUCAGCCUCCCAAAUAGCUAGGAUUACAGGUGCCUGCCACAAUACCUGGCUAAUUCUUUUGUAUUUUUAGUAGAGACAGAGUUUCACCAUGUUGACCGGGCUGGUCUCAAACUCCUGACCUUAAGUAAUCCGCCCCCCUCAGCCUCCCAAAGUGCUGGAAUUACAGGCAUGAGCCACUGCGCCCGGCUCCAUUCCCUUAUUUUUAUUUAUGUUUUAGAGACAGGGUCUUGCUCUGUUGCCCAGGCUGGAGUACAGUGGUGUAAUCAUAGCUCACUGCAGCCUCCAAAUCCUGGGCUCCAACAAUCCUCCUUCCUCAGCCUCCUGAGUAGCUGGAAUCACAGGUGUGUGCCACUGUGCCCGGCUAAUUU
rnacentral:lncRNA from 1 species